CCUCUAGAGAGGUCACAAGGUUUUUAGCUCACCUGUCACAAAGUGACAAGGUGAGCUUUUGUGAUCGCGCGGUGUCCGUCGUCCGUCGUCCGUCCGUGCGUCCGUCCGUCCGUCCGUAAACUUUUGCUUGUGACCACUCUAGAGGUCACAUUUUUCAUGGGAUCUUUAUGAAAGUUGGUCAGAAUGUUCAUCUUGAUGAUAUCUAGGUCAAGUUCGAAACUGGGUCACGUGCCUUCAAAAACUAGGUCAGUAGGUCUAAAAAUAGAAAAACCUUGUGACCUCUCUAGAGGCCAUAUAUUUCACAAGAUCUUCAUGAAAAUUGGUCAGAAUGUUCACCUUGAUGAUAUCUAGGUCAAGUUCGAAACUGGGUCACGUGCUGUCAAAAACUAGGUCAGUAGGUCUAAAAAUAGAAAAACCUUGUGACCUCUCUAAAGGCCAUAUAUUUCACAAGAUCUUCAUGAAAAUUGGUCAGAACAUUCAACUUGAUGAUAUCUAGAUCAAGUUCGAAACUGGGUCACGUGCCAUCAAAAACUAGGUCAGUAGGUCAAAUAAUAGAAAAACCUUGUGACCUCUCUAAAGGCCACAUUUUUCAUGGGAUCUGUAUGAAAGUUGGUCUGAAUGUUCAUCUUGAUGAUAUCUAGGUCAAGUUCGAAACUGGGUCACGUGCGGUCAAAAACUAGGUCAGUAGGUCUAAAAAUAGAAAAACCUUGUGACCUCUCUAGAGGCCAUAUAUUUCAUGAGAUCUUCAUGAAAAUUGGUCAGAACUUUCACCUUGAUGAUGUCUAGGUCAAGUUCGAAAGUGGGUCACGUGCCCUCAAAAACUAGGUCAGUAGGUCAAAUAAUAGAAAAACCUUGUGACCUCUCUAGAGGCCAUAUUUUUCAUGGGAUCUGUAUGAAAGUUGGUCUGAAUGUUCAUCUUGAUGAUAUCUAGGUCAGUUUUGAAAGUGGGUCAAGUGCCAUCAAAAACUAGGUCAGUAGGUCAAAUAAUAGAAAAACCUUGUGACCUCUCUAAAGGCCAUAUUUUUCAUGGGAUCUGUAUGAAAGUUGGUCUGAAUGUUCAUCUUGAUGAUAUCUAGGUCAAGUUUGAAACAGGGUCAUGUGCGGUCAAAAACUAGGUCAGCAGGUCUAAAAAUAGAAAAACCUUGUGACCUCUCUAGAGGCCAUACAUGUGAAUGGAUCUCCAUAAAAAUUGGCCAGAAUGUUCACCUUGAUGAUAUCUAGGUCAAGUUUGAAACUGGGUCACGUGCCUUAAAAAACUAGGUCAGUAGGUCAAAUAAUAAAAAAAACAUUGUGACCUCUCUAGAGGCCAUACUUUUCAUGGGAUCUGUAUGAAAGUUGGUCUGAAUGUUCAUCUUGAUGAUAUCUAGGUCUAAAAUUAGAAAAAUCUUUUGACCUCUCUAGAGGCCAUAUUUUUCAAUGGAUCUUCAUGAAAAUUGAUCUGAAUGUUCAUCUUGAUGAUAUCUAGGUCAGUUUCGAAACUGGGUCACAUGCGG